UACGAAGGGGCUAGCGUUGCUCGGAAUCACUGGGCGUAAAGCGCACGUAGGCGGCUUACUAAGUCAGGGUGAAAUCCUGGAGCUCAACUCCAGAACUGGCCUUUGAUACUGGUGAGCUUGAGUCCGGAAGAGGUGAGUGACUGCGAGUGUAGAGGUGAAAUUCGUAGAUAUUCGCAAGAACACCAGUGGCGAAGGCGGCUCACUGGUCCGGUACUGACGCUGAGGUGCGAAAGCGUGGGGAGCAAACAGG
rnacentral:rRNA from 1 species